UAUAAAUAGACACGAAUUAGGAGAAAUGGUAUCAAUUGAAAAAUUUAUUCAAGGAAUAAACAUCAAAAUGAAAUACUUUGCAAUUUUCGCCCUUGUCUUUCUUGCAUUUGCCGCCUUUGUGCAAAGUGCUCCAGCGGACGUGGAAGUUCCAUCGGAUGGCGUAUCUGAAGCGAUUGAACUGUGGUCAUCAAGCAGCGCUCGCGCAGGGGAAUCACGCCGUCGUGUUUGUACCGCACAGCUUUGUCGCGCGGUCUGCAGUUCGUUGGGCUACCGCUGGUCCCGCUGCAAUGCUCAAAGAUACUGCAUCUGCAGUCGUUGAUCUAUGACGCAAUAAGAUCAAUUCAGCAUUAUUUUUCUGCUUUAUAUCGUCAUAUUUUCGACUUUCUCUCUAAAUAAUAUAUAUUGCAAUAAAUUAUUUGUUGACUA